ensembl:lncRNA
CUUUUCUACUGACACAGUAAUACAAUAGUCAUAAAAUGGGAGUGUAAUAUUAAGACUUUUGCACAGUACUGUACAGUAAACCUAUGUUUAAACUAUGCAACUAAGGCGGUAAUAACUGUGAUUUGAGUUUUUGACUGGCUAUUGACAUGAUUAUAACAUGAGGUGAUCAUGUGUGUGAUGACCAGGUGUGUAGUCAACAGAUAUCCAAGUGUGUAUUUGGUAUAUGAUGAGGUGAUAUGUGUGAUUAAUAUCUGUGAAUAGGACUGAUAAUAAGGUUUGAAUUGGGUAGGUGAUGAUGUGACCAGAUGUGUAUUGGGUAGGUGAUGAGGUGACCAGGUGUGUAUUGGGUAGGUGAUGAGGUGACCAGGUGUGUAAGGAAAGAUAAUCAGGUGUGUAUUGGGUAGGUGAUGAGGUGACCAGGUGUGUAGGGAAAGAUAAUCAGGUGUGUAUUGGGUGGGUGAUGAGGUGACCAGGUGUGUAGGGAAAGAUAAUCAGGUGUGUAUUGGGUGGGUGAUGAGGUGACCAGGUGUGUAUUGGGUAGGUGAUGAGGUGACCAGGUGUGUAGGGAAAGAUAAUCAGGUGUAUUGGGUAGGUGAUGAUGGUCAGGACUGGUGAUGGUGUAGGGGGACUGGUGAUGUGGUCAUAACACACUUAAUCACUUCAUCACUUACUGACUAACAGGUGUGUGUAUUUUGGAAUCUAGAUUUAGUCUUGGUCGUUUGAUGAAAAUGCACAAUAAAUAUAGAAUCAUUUACAUUUUAGCUAAUUUGAGUAUUAGUUUUAGUCUAGAUUUAGUUGGCAAAAUGCUAC